rnacentral:tRNA from 1 species
UAUCCGAAGAACGACUUGAACGUUCACGACAUAUCGUCAACAAAGCUUAAAUUUGUCCUGUCUACCAAUUCCAGCACUCGGAU